GUCUAAGAAUAGAUCAUUAGUAAAAUCGCAGUGUUAAAAUCCUGGUGUUAAGGACUUUUAGAGUAAAGAUUUAAACUUGUGGUGUUGAAUUUUAGAGGAUUAACAAUAGCUAGUGUAAACAGCGCUAUCUGGCCGGUGAAAAUGCGGCCUAAUAUCCUUAUUAGUCACAUCCGGGACAUUUGCUCUGUGCGCGCCUCACCCAUUUGAAAUAUUGUUUACAGAUGCAUUGUUUACAUGUGAGGACGGGAAACAACGAAAUAAAGCGUUUAAUCUUACGCACAAAAUGUGUUUUGUAAUAUCAUAUAGUUUUAUAAUGAUAUUAAUGUGCUGUAUGCGGCUAAACUUUUCUCAAAGACAUUUUUUUUCCACUCGCGAAGCGUAACAGACAAUUGAGUAAUCGCUGUCGGGAGUAAUCGCAAUUACUCCUAAACUUUUUCUCAGAGAGAUAACAUUAUUUCCUUUCACUCACGAUGCGGAGCAGACAGGCCAAUUGGUUUUAUCAAGGAAACACCGAAAGUAAGUGUUUUACCCCAACUGCGAUAUGUGUUUUACAAGAUAAUAUUACUUUAUGAUGAUAUUAACGUUAUGCAGUGCGUGCCUAAACAAGCCUAAACGUUUCUCAUAGAUUUGAAUUGCUAUGCAGUGUUGACGUGGAGGUCGCUUUUAACAGGGAAACGUAAGAAAUCUCAAUUGCUAUGCAGUGCUGACACAGAGGUUGUUUUUAACAGGGAAAAGCGAUAUUUUCUUUCACUCACAAUGCAGACCAGACAGGGAAACCCAGACAGGUUUUAUCAAGGAAAACACAGAAAAGACCAGGAGACGUUUUGGAUAUCUUGAAGCAGAAGUUUCUCUUUAUUCAGAUACUCGCUGCUUGGCACUGCAGUCAUCAAAGUCGUCGUCUUAACAAAAUCUCAGCACAGCAGAGUAUAUAGGUUUGAAGUGGGAGGAGUACAUAGAAGUGGAAUCAAUCUAAACAAAGUAUGCAAAUGUGGUUCAGGAAAACAGCUCAGUUAAAGAUUUUCCCAGCCUUGAUCUAUUUAGCAUACAAGUGUCAUUCAAAUGCAUAGGUGCUUAAACAAAAGGCACAACUGUACCUUGAGCUUAGAAUUCACACUUAACUUGGGAAACCUGCCAGAUGUUCAGGAACUGCAUAAAGACAAAAGGUUACUGUCUCAGGGCCUGGGCUGCCUGCUCUUAGACUGUCACAAUAUACAUAACUUUUUCAGUUCAUGUUGUUAUAUUGGAACCUAUAACAAAUAUGCAUAGAAUCAGCAUAUUUUAAACAGAUUCUUAAAUUUGU